GUAACGUGGGCUUGUAACUAAGUAGGGCAUUAAAGUGGUUGGUUGUUUGAGAAGCCUUGUUAGAUGAGGUGUGGCAAUCUUGGACUGUUCACCUUGGUGAAGUCGCACAAAGCACGCCCCUUGCCCUCGGGUUAGUGGGGGGCAGCGAACCCCAACUUGAUAUUAGAUUGGGGUGUUAAUACUACACCUCACGGGUCAAGAGCCAUCACACCCCAGCGUGCUGCCUAGCUUGGCCUCUCAUCACACAAUCACUUUUUUGAGAAAUUGGAAGUGGUCACUCAUUUUUGUUCAAUAAAAAUUGAAAUAAUGAUGCCAAAUCAUCCUUCUUAUUUAUUGUUAUUUUCCAGCAAUAUGUAGACUAUGUACAGUAUUAAUUAAUUAUAUAUUCCUAUAUAUUUGGUUCGAUGGCAGAAAUUUCUUUCACAAU
rnacentral:lncRNA from 1 species